UCCAAAACCUACAGUAAGCCAGUACUACUAUCAUAAUCAGAAAAAAUACAACCUUUAAAAGAGGCAGUUUCUGUUGACCUCCUUAUCUUGUUUGGGCUUUAUUUACCAUGCCCCUGGGAGGAAUUCAUUUCCUUGUGGGCAAAAUGAGGAAACCACUCCCCCACUCAGGGCUGGCCAGGGACUGAAGGUGGCGUCCCAUGGGAGCACUGGGCAGUGAGCCACCCCGCAGGCUCCUGGCACCAGAGGGCCCUGAGCAGGGCUACCUCCCCACAGCCCGCCCGCAGUGGCCACUGCCAACUCCGAUGGAAAACGGUCUGGCUUGCCAAAUCCAGAGCUCUAGAAAAGUCCUACUUCUGGGAAUCUGCCCUACAUCAGUUGUCAUGAUGCAAAUAGACAAAACUUCAUGUGCAAAUAGAUUUAAUGCAGCAGUAUUUUUAAUAGGAAAAAUUUGGAAUUAAUGUAAGUGUUCCACAGAAGGAAAUUGGUUAAAUAAAUUUAGUCAUGGAACAGCAGAACAUCUCACAGCCACUGGGAUAUGGUUCUGAAAUAUAGAUUUGUGGGCUUUAAUGUUUCCUGAAUGAAGACAAAUAAUUGCAUAGACAGAGGGGUGUCUAUAAUAUUAAUUUCUAGAAAACUGCCUGGAAGGAAAUGUGCCAACAGAAUAAGCAUGUCCCCUCUCAGGGGUGACAUGACGAGGGAGUUUCUCUGGUUACCGUCUCUGGCCGUAGCAGCACGUGGAGUGUGAGUAACAAAAGUCAAGAGCAAAGCACCAAAGAUCCCGGCGUCCCCCACUCCAGCCCUCCCUCUCCCUUUCCCACUUCUAACAGUUUGUUCUAGAUGUUUUCUUUGAAUCCACCACGCAUUGCCUUUGAAACUUACAUAUCCAACCAGAAAAAUGAUAUGGUGAAGGGGGAAAAAAUAUAAGACUCUGAAAAUGAAUCACAACGUUACGGAAAAUUAGAAGCGUGGACUUAUUUUGCAAAGCAAAUCUCUAUUUUUACAGAGGAGGAAGCCCGACUCAGGGAGGGAGGUCGGGAGGGUUGCCGAGCUGGGGCUGGAUUGCGGGUCGUGUGGGCAGAGCUGGGGCUGCCACCCCUGGGCUCUGGGAGCUCAGAGGAGGAGGGGCGGCUGCAGGGAGGCAGGAUGCUCAGCUGGCUGGGGUGGGGCAGGCUGAGGAGGCUUCUGCCUGAUGCAGGCAGGCAGACAUCUGGGCACGAGGGGGCCAAAGUCCUCAUUUAUGGCCUUGGGGCAGUUAAUGUGUAAUAUGUCUAAGAUAUAAGCUUGACCAUGACGUGGGACCCUGAGCACAGGCUUCCAGGAGCUGCUGGGAGCUGCUGCCAGGAGCUGUCACCAUGUCGGAGGAUUUCGAGAUUAGGAACAUGAACAUGAAGCCGGGGACAACCCUGAAGAUCAAGGGCAGGAUUCCCGACGACGCCAACAGCCACUGAAGGUGCGAGUGGAGAAGCCCCUGGCACCGUGCCCCGGCCCUGCAGGUCAGGUGCCUCUACUGAGAGCCCGAGCCCUGAGACACCGCCCUCCAGCCACCCCGCUCAGCGGCCAGAGCCCGGCCUUUCACGCGCAUAAACCAGGGCAGCCACCAGGGGGCGCCAAGUGACCCCGCUUGCGUCCGGUCAGUAGAACCAGAGGCACGACCCACCUCUGAGCCACAGCUCAGCGCGGCUCCCACGUGUGCAGAGCAGUGUCGGCGGGGCUCGGCACUGCUCUCUAUCCACCUUUGGUUCCGGAGGGGGUGGGCAGAUGCAUGGGGUAAGAGCCAAGAGAAAAGUGACUCCUUUCUCCUACUUGAGUCCCUCACGUUUGCAGAAAUGUGGGGUGUCCCUGGUCUGAGACCCCUGAAUGAAGGCACCCCAUGACCCAGAAUGUCCUGCUCUUGGGGACCCUGAUGAUCUAACCCAGGCUUCUGCAGAGAUCUGCCAAGAAGUCACACAACCCCUGACUGCAUACCUCUAGUAACAGGGAGCUCACCACCUUAGGCUGGCUACUGUUUGCAGCCAAAUUUAAUAUGUCCUCAGAUAUCUAAGGAUGGCGAUGCUCUGUCUCAGGAUAGACACCCUCGAUUCCAGAAGCUAUCACUGUCAGUUACCCUCCUGUCAACAGCCUCAUUCCCUGUUUCAAAUGGAAUGUGCCACCACAAUGCCAAGUCUGACCAGGUUGUCACCUCCCUUGUUUUAAGGCACAGAUCUUAAUUAACAUAACCUUUUUUCGUGAUUCUUCCAGCUUAGUGUGGUCAACCAAAACCCUCUAACCCAAGCAGUUUUACCCAAACCUGGCCUCCAAACCUCACCUGUUAUCCCCUCCCCUGCAGCUUUGCAAUUAAUCUGGGCCAGGGGUCAGAUGAGUUGAACCUGCACUUCAACCCUCGCUUCACUGAAUCCAUCAUUGUCUGCAACACAAAGGAUGGCAGCAGCUGGGGACAAGAGCAACGGGAUAAUCACCAGUGCUUCACCCCAGGGUCAGAGGUCAAGGUGAGGUCAAAGGGGAAAGCAGUCUGGAGAAGGUGUCAAGGGGAGGGCCCAAAGGGUAGGGCAUGUAGUCCUGGACAUGCGUGCUGGCAGUGUCUGUGCCACCAGGCACUGCCCUGGCCCAUUCCCAGGGCCUCCUGCCUCCUUGACACCCUCCCCAACUCCCCUACAGGUGACCAUAACCUUUGAGAGUGACAAAUUCAACGUGAUGCUGCCAGACGGGCACCGGUUGACCUUUCCCAACAGGCUGGGCCACAACCACCUGA